AAUGCUUCAAAAUCGCGUUUUUCGUCGGUAAAUAGCAUUGCAACCUUGCGUCAGUUGACACAAGCUUUCACUGCCGCAUCCGGAAUCUCAGUGCAUAGGUGUCUAUGCAUCAUGAGCUUAGGUAUUGUUUCCUUUUUCGUUAGAUCAUGCUUCAACUUAUAGCGCUUAAUCGUUCAUGCCAAACAAAGUUUGCGGACUUGUGAUAUAUUUCCUUCAACAAAUGUCCGUCAAAUGAGGCUACAAAUGAGCUGCUUUCUUCUGCCAAUUAUGUUACUAUAGCACGUUGCUAAUGGAAGGUGGUUAUGAAUAAGACUAUUUGCAGUUGUGCCUCAUCAUCACUUAUUUGCCAAAUGCAAUUUCAAUUGCUGCUGUUAUCCCCGGCUAUAGUGUCUACGGUGGCGAGCUUUCUCCGCGGACCUUCAACUUCAAGACCUUCUACUUCAAGACCUUCAAUUUCUAGACAACUAAAGGGAUAUUCUCGUCAUACUGUACUCUCGAUGACCUGCAUGUCGGGCGUGCCAUGUCCUGAGGAGCGUUGUUUUCAAUACCCUCAGUGCACAUACUGCACCAGACUAUAUUUACGGACGUUGACUGUUUGCUUUAGGCACUGUUUCAAGCAUUGUACGAUGGCCGAAAACAAUAGUAUUUGGUAACGUUUUCAAGUGCCAUUUGGAGUAUCCGAAACUACGACGCAAUGUUAGUCGGAAAUAACGUAUCUAGUUAAUCAUGUUAUCGCAUGAUGUUCUUGUUCAUUGGCAAACAUUAUUUCAGCAGUCGAUACGUCCUCCAAACUUCAGUAACCGUUACUAUAUAGUCCCCGUUCGUCACAAACAACCGUUGACAUUUCGUCAACCUCAAAUUCGAAUAUAUUAACCGUUUACACGCACGAGAAUAUCCCUUUAUCCAAACUAGCAAGUGUGUCUACUGUUUUCUUACUAGGCAAACAAAAGUUUGUCACAGCAUGUGCGCAGUUCACUUUACCUAUGUGCAUUCAUACUAAAAGCCAUUCGUCCACAAGCAAGUUAUUUGCGCAAUUGACGUAAGCUUUCAUGAAGGCCAAACCAAUGCUGAUUCGUCAAUGCUGAUUGUCAGCUUGAAAGUAAAGAUGAGCAAAGUGGUUCAACUGAAUCUUAUGGUUGCAGUAGGGCAUAUUAGAAGUAAGUAAGUGACAAGUAUGUGUCAGCAAUUGCUUAUGCUUCUUAACCCUAGAUACUUUUGAUUCAAUCCUUUUGGUGAUGACGUAAUGUGGCAGAAAACAGUAGACACGCUUCAUCUUAUCGGAAACCCUGAAUGAUUGGUAUUUGUGAGCAUGUGUGCCUGUGAGUGUGUAAGGGUGGAUGUGGGUGUGUGGGUAUGUAUGUGCGUAUGUGAGGAUGUGCGUGUCAUCUUACAAGUAAUUUAGUGAAUGAGUGCAUAGGUACUAGUUUUCAAGUAAAUACGUGCAUGAGUGCAUGUAGUCAGUGGUGUAUGGAACUCGCAUUGUGCCUGCCUGCUGCCAACGAAAUAUGCAAGCCCACACAGAGAAAACAGUUUUGUUGUGCGAAACUUCAUGCUGCUGGCAGGGUUUACAUGCAAGUCACAUAUUGCAGGUCUACCAUAAGCAGAGCAAUGUGACAUCUGAUAAGUAACUCACAGCAACACAUACUCUGCAUGUCCAGGGAAAGUGAGUUGUGCUCGGAACACAUUGGCCAGACAGUUUUGUCCUAUCAAAUUCAGAAUUGUUUUAUCCUCCUCACAGUUGUCAUUAACACUUCAUGAGCACACAUUAUUGCUAGAUCUGAAUGCCAGCUGCCUAUUGCACUGCUGGCACGUAGUUGGAGACAAAGGUGCCGCCAGUUUUCCACCUCGCUGCUGAUACAAUGCAAUACUGCUACAAAAUGUCCGUGUUCUGUGUUUUUAGUGUUGUAUGUUUGUAGUAUAUGUGUCUUGCGUCGUAUGCGCAUUACCUACAUAAGUUUUAAGUGUUCCCGCGAAAGUAGGUACUGAAUUAGCUCAAGCCAGGAUUGCGUUGCGGAGAUAUUUGUAGCCCAUACAAUGUUUUAUGGCGUCAUUUACGACACUUUCUGUUUUUUCUUGUCAUUGUAUGCACGUGAGUUGUGCCGCAUGUUGCGCUUGCAAAUCAUGUUCUCAAUGCCAUUUUCUUUUGAUACAAUUGGUCACCACUACACAUCACUCGCAUACACUCGCCCAAGCAAGUCGGAUAUCAAUCACUGUCCAGAAGUGCAUGAUGCAUUCAACCACGCAUAGAACACUGGCACACCAAGAACAUGAACUCACGCAAAAACGAGAGGACUAUUACACGACUUCGCAUUGGACACACCGCUAUCACACACAACUACAUCAUCACAAGAAGCCCGAGACCGAAAUGCAACACCUGCAACACUUUCAUCACUGUCAAACAUCUGCUACUCACAUGCCCACAAUACCAACACCACAGGACAAACAUACAAACAUACUGCAGAGACGCCAACAUCCCACUAACACUCACAACACUGCUCGGGGACUUACACCCCGAGCUAACAACACUACUCAUCCACUAAAGACACAACACUGGGCUGAUAAAUGACCUGUAAAUCUCCUCCCCUAGAGCCAAGGACAAAAAAGCCAAAAAAAAGCCAAAAAAGAAGCCAAAAAGAAAAAAACAACAUUCAAAACAAUAAGAAUCAAAAUAAAAGACCCCAGAAUGGCAAAAUGGCAAAAAAAAAAACAAAAAACGAAAAAAAAAACAAUAGAAGGGGCAAUCCGGCUACCCGGGAGGAGAUAGCUAGGAACCCUGACCCACCUCUCAGCCCACCCUUACGAGCCAAGAAGACGACGGACACUUCAAGACAAUGGACGGACCAACAACGAAGACGGACGACAGAACCGGGCCCAAAUACAGAACGCUGUGGUGGCCCGUAAGCCACAAAUACCAUACCAUACCAUACCAGUGCAUCAUGCAGCAGAAGAAGCUUCAUUGAACACACUCGUCAUCAUGAACGGCAUCUUAGGAGCUUCAUGAGUUUGGAUCUGUGACCAGUUGUUUUCGCAGUAUCCAAUAGCAACCGUGUAUGACCAGGCGCCGCUUGGACGCCUUGUCCAGCCACGUCUUCCGGGACUGUGUGAUGACUGCCUCUGCAAUCUCAAGUGCCAGUUUCUGCCUCCGGCCUAUUUCUUUAUCAAAGGAUGUUGGUAACUGAACGACCAGCUCUGCUCCAAGAUUCCAAAUCGUUUUACGGUAUUUUAUCCCUACAAAACGUUAAUAUUUGCUGGACGCGUUGAUGCCCGAAUAGGAUGACCUUUAUUCCUAGAUACAGGCAUUCAACGUUGAAUCAAUUACGCUUCUAGCCUUCUGUUUAUUGGCUUUACAUACUUUUUAUUAAUAUUUAUCAUGUGUCUAGCCUGCAAUUCAUUUUACUCACCACCAUCGGACGUCACAACUAUAAGCUUAUAACUACUAUAUACAACUAUAAGCUAUAAGCAGCUAUUCGCUGACUUGACAUAUGAUAUUUUCGCGACGACUCGUUUCGCCCUUCCGCCAUGUUAACUAAUCAUCCGUUACAUCUUUAUGUCAACAGGUAUAGUACAAGUCAUCCUUACCGUCGAUACCGUAGAAGAAUUUGCCGUCGACCACGGAACACAUAUUGUGCUUCCCGUUGCUGGUAAUUUUUUAUUUGUCACUUAGGUGACAGUUACUAUAGUUCGUUUUCUUUUUAAAGUUCGGCCCUGACUGUAAACAUCUUUUUGAACACAGCACGAGAAUUACUGAGAAAAUUGGUUAGCGCCCAUUGAUACCGUUGUGUUAAACGCGGUGCGAUUUAUUAAUUAGUUCAGUUAUCACUCCUGACAAAUCGUCUAUCCCUGUGGGGUUGUAAAUAUGAGCAAAUACGAGCUGAGGGGUCUGGGAAAUAGGAGCCAGAAAGAAAUAACUUUGAUAAAGUUUUUCAUCAGUGAAAUUCAACGUGCGACAACCAUUUUCCUCUUCUUAGUAAUUCAGCUAGCAAUUCUCGUGCUGUGUUCGAAGAGACGUUUACAGUGAGGGUCGAACUUAGGACGAACUAUGGCACCUAUCAGCAGAUAUACGUUCAUAAUGCAACAAGGGAACGAAAAGCGUGUUCAAAACUUUAACUCAUUGUCCUUAUGUGCCUGCAGGCUGAUUUCGCAGUAUCCAAUGGCAACCGUGUAUGACCAGGCGCCGCUUGGACGCCUUGUCCAGUCACGUCUUCUGGGACUGUGUGAUGACUGCCUCUGCACUCUCAAGUGCCAGUUUCUGCCUCCGGCCUAUUUCAUUAUCAAAGGAUGCUGUUAGCUGAACGAACAGCUCUGCUCCAAGAUUCCAAACGUUUUUACGGUGAAUUACCAGUCGUCUUUACCGUCGAUACCGUUGAAGAUUUUACCGUCGAUCAGGGAGCACCCAUUGCGCUGGCCGUUGCUGGCACUUUUUUAUUUGUCACUAGCUAUUAGUUAUCUGCAGAUAUACAUUAGCCACCUGUGCACCCGCUUACACAAGCUCUCAGCAUCUAGUUCUACGUAUGUGUGUGUUUGUUUUAAUUGAAUUGCCAAUGAAUUCGGUAGACAUGCUCCGCCCGCAAACAUGUACCACAUGAUGCAGUCCACUGAAUGUAGCAGUUAAUCUCUCGUAAAAAGCAGUCAUGUUUUCGUAUAGUGUAGGUUUGCAUCUAUGUAAGCAUGUGUUCACACUCAUGAGCGAUCCACACAUGAUAUUGCAUUUCCUGUUCAGUUACAUUUUUUAACACGAUGCUCAUACACUGCGUUGUUAUCUUUCUUUUUUUCGCCUGCUCCUUCCUCCAACUUGUGUCUUUGAGUAUUUCAGUCACAUGCUCAAACGUUCUUAAAUGCUCUCGCCAUCGGUUUACGCAUGCGUUGAAAACGGACACGUGUUGACCAAAUUUAACAAUAUGCGGACAAUGGAUCGACUUCUUGAAGCCUGUGGACGUGAUAAACCUUCUCCAUCACCAUCAAGAGAUCAACAUUUUCGAAGACACUUGCGUACGGCUGGCUUCGGCUGCAGCACAAGCCACAUUCAUCGGCCCAAUCAUCAGUUAUUCAUCCUGCAAGUUUUAAGUCACUUCGUUGUGACCCGGACAUCGUCAUCUUUCAACGACUUCAAAUGACUAUUUCAUUCAUCAUCGUCGAUCAGACUCAUCAUGUAAAGACACUUCCAUAAUGCUAUCUGCCAUCUACGUUUGUGCAGGAAGCAAAUAUCAGGUUGUUAUUAGCUGCAGGCUACUCAGUACCGACUGAACUACUGGCAGUAGUGUGCGAGCACCUAAUACUUGUAUUGUGAUACCAAAGUAAAACGGAUGAUAGCUUAGCGCAUAGCGCCCUACCGCUU
rnacentral:lncRNA from 1 species